rnacentral:rRNA from 1 species
UACAGAGGGUGCAAGCGUUGUUCGGAAUCACUGGGCGUAAAGCGCGCGCAGGCGGGAAAGCAAGUCUGUAAGUGAAAUCCAGCCGCUCAACGGCUGGGCUGCUUCGGAUACUACUUUUCUAGGGACCGGUAGAGGCUGGUAGAAUUGCAGGUGUAGCGGUGGAAUGCGUAGAGAUCUGCAAGAAUACCCGUGGCGAAGGCGGCCAGCUGGGCCGGGUCCGACGCUGAGGCGCGAAAGCUAGGGGAGCAAACGGG